GUACAAUUACAGUACCAGAUAUCAAUAUCAAUAUUAGAUAACAGUAUAUUGCAUGUCUUCUUCUUCUUCUUCUUCUUUUUUGGGUGGAAGCUCGAUCGUCUUCUUCUUCUUCUAGCUAGCUUUCUUCAGCUUUUUUUCUUUGUUAUUCUUCAACUUCUACCCUAAUAUACUCUUUGAUACAUAAAAGUCCAGCACUUUUCAAACAAUAGCAACUCAGUAGUCUUUACCCUCAAGUAUAUAGCCUUUAGUAGUGAAUAAAAAUUACUGCAUCGUCACUCCACAAGAGCUUGUUUUACCAUCUAGAUGGCCUCAUUGCGCUCUCUCGCAUUCCAGGUGAAUCGCUUCGAGCCGCGACUUAUAAUGCCGGCAAAGCCAACACCGCUCGAAAUGAAGCUGUUGUCGAAUAUCGACGACCAGCAAUGCCUCAGGUUUCAUGUCCCAUUCAUCAUGUCUUACAAGAACAAUCAUUCAAUACUGUCGAAACCAAACGACCCGGUUGAGGUGAUUAGGGAUGCGCUAAGCAAGGCACUGCAGUUUUACUACCCUUUGGCUGGUAGGCUCAGGGAGGGGCCUAACAAAAAGCUUAUGGUGGACUGCACUGGAGAAGGCGUCUUGUUCGUCGAGGCAAACGCCGAAGUCACACUCGACGAACUCGGGGAUGCAAUCCGAUCCUACCGCCUUGUCCAUUCUUAGAGGAGUUCAUGUUUAACGUUCCAGGUUCUGAUGCUAUUCUUGGUUCUCCUUUGUGCUUGAUACAGGUAACCCGUCUGUCAUGCGGAGGUUUUAUAUUUGCAUUGCGCUUAAACCACACAAUAUGCGACGCACUUGGCUUGGUACAAUUCUUGAACGCGGUAGGGGAGAUUGCCCAAGGCAAAGAUGCACCAUCUACUUCACCAGUGUGGGAACGAGAGCCCUUGAGCGCCCGAGAUCCCCCACGAAUGUCAUGCACACAUAAAGAAUUUGAUGAUAUUAUUGAUCACUCGUUUCUGAACUAUUGUGCAACGGUCCAACAAUCUUACUGUUUUGGUCCCAAGGAGAUCAAGGCCCUUAGGGAGCUUCUUCCACCACACCUUUCUACUUGUUCAUCGGCAUUCGAGUUAAUAACAGCUUGCGUGUGGAAGUGCAGGACUAUUUCACUCGAUAUGGAUCCAGAACAGAUUGUCCGCCUUUCAUGCAUAGUUACUGCACUUGGUAAACACAACAAUGUAUGUCUUCCUCUGGGAUACCAUGGCAACACAUUUACAAGUUGGUGAAGAAGUCCAAAGAGAAAAUGAGCGAAGAGUAUUUUAGGUCUGCGAUAGAUUUUGUGGAGAUAAGAGGACGACCUCCACUUGCAAAGGAAGGCAUGAGUGACUUCAUAGUUUCGGAUAACACAAGAACAGGUUUGGGAGAGAUCGAUUUUGGGUUGGGAAAGCCAGUGUAUGCUGGAGUUGCCAAGUCCAUCGAUCUGAUCAGCUUCUAUGUCAGGAGCACAAACAAAGAAGGGAGAUAUGAAAUCUUGGUGCCAAUAUGCUUGCCAUUAUUGUCCAUGGAAAUGUUCCAGCAAGAGCUCAAGAAGAUAACGCAAGAACCCAAAAAUUAA